AGACAGCAGAAGAGACUGUCAGCAGACCACCUUGGAGGGGAUGCUUGGAGCUGCCUAACGUGUGAUUCAAAGAUGAAUUCCAUGUGUUUGGAGAAGAAGCCCUAGCCUCAACACAAAGGUUGGCCACAUUCCAGCCAAGGUAGCACGGAGUGAAGGCCCGUGGAGGGAGAGCUGGGCUUUUCUGAACUACUUCAGUACACCUUGCUGUGCCUUGGCCUGCCGUGUUUCAUCCCCAUGGCUGUCCUCAGUGAUGUGCAUGGUCACUGCUCCCUUCACCACUGAGAAGACGGGCACAGGACAGUCAGGGGAUGUGUCCAAGGUCCCACAGCAGGAAGGGCUGGAGCCAGAAUGUGGUCUGAGAGGCUGGAUAUACAAAGAGACAAUGGCAUGACCAUCUGUACAAAUGGAACUAUGGCCCACAACCUGCAGCAGCCAGCCCAGGAAGCCAACCCGUCACCUGCAGCAGCCAGGAUGGAUGCUGGCCUGCCCUCACUGGCUUUGGGGAAGUAAAGGAAACCAGAGAAGAAGAGGCUGAAAGAAUUGGUUUCCACCGUGACCUUUGAACCCUCGGGCGAGUUGUCAGCCUCACUGAGGAUGAGUGUACUCCAUAUCAAGUGAGGUCACUUUACUCGCAAGCUUGUUGUGAGGACUGAAUGAAACCUUUUCUUUUUUCUUGGAGUUUCAGAGCAACGUCCCUGAGCCCAGCCCCACACUGGCUUGAGCCCUGUCGUCGGUCAAGACACGGUGCUUUCUCCCCUCCCCUCUGCACUCCAGCUUACUCUGCAGUCAGGAGGUGGCACCACGAUCCC
rnacentral:lncRNA from 1 species